CUUGACUUUCAGAAAGACAGUGCUUUUUGGACCUGAAGUUAACACUUUCCUCCCUGGUUAAUGCUGCCCUGUUCUGAACUUCUCUGUUCAAAGGUUGGCAUGAAGACAGCUACUGAGAUCUUGAAGGAGGAUCCAGCCUGCUUCUCACACCACUGAACUUCCCUCUUCAUCACCUUGGCUUUGCACUUCCCAGAAUGGAACUGCUUGUUAACUCUCUGAACUAGCCCAAAGCAGCCAGGCACCAGACAGAGACAUCUCUGAUAACUUGCUCAGCUUUUAACAGUGGAUUGAGUUCAAAUCUCUUUGUACAGGAGCCUAACUAGGACCAGGUGGAGACCACAGGGCGCCAGGCACUAUGAAGAACUGGUCCAAUCGUUGCAGGUGUUUGCGGUUGGAACGGGCUGCCUCAAGAGGUGGUGAGGUCCUGUUGCUGCGCUGACACCAAGGCCACUCCACAGGGGAGAAGAGGGUGCAGAUGAUGUUGGAUGUGCUUCCUUCUCAACCGGAAAGUUUCAUACCCAAUAGGGAAGAGGGAGUCAGAGUGAGAGCUCUAGAACCCCAGAGAUGGUCAGAAAACCUUCCCUCAUUGAAUGCCCUCGGAGCCAUCAACCCUCUCCACUGCCCAGUUGAGAAUAACUUCAUCAGUGGAUAAUAUUCUGACAUACAUCAUCUGUGUAUUAUAAGGUUUAACUGGGAUGGUUUUCUCAGAACUUCAAGACUGAGUUCAACUGAAGCAGAUCAGUGAAUAUUUUUUUAAAUUAACCUGGCAUUAAUACUGGUUUAACAUCAGUGAAAAGCCAAGUAGAGGUUUUGAAUGUAAGGAAGCUGGUUUCAGCCAAGUAACCUCUUUGAUCCAGAAUUGUACUAAACACAUACACACUAUCUGUUCUAAUCUUCAACAUUCUGCAAGAAGAAGAAACUGAGGCUAAGAGAUUAAGAUGGCUUGCCUGGUUGUGAACCAAAUGCCUCACCUUGAAGGUGGCAGGACCACCAUUUGAACCCCCCCAUUCUAAAUACCAUUGUUUUUCGUAUAAAUCUUAUUGCCUCUUUAUAGAAGGCUUCUACUUGAAAACAGAGGUUUCCACAUUAGUCUAUAGGAUAAACAUCCUUCAGCUGAUGAUUCCUAAUUAUCCACAGGAGAAGACUGUCAUAGUGCCCAAUGAGGGAGAAAAGAGCUAUUUGAAAAAUAAUGUGGAGAUUGCUCUGGCUGUUUUUGAUGGACGCAAAGACAUGAAAAAUGGGAACCAAAAACAGAGGGGGAAAAAAGCCCAUUCUGAAGCUCUGAAGCCCCAUGACCCAGGUGUACAUCAUACAGUCAGCUGUCAAGAAAGACUCCAUUGGCCCACUCACAGGGGUUCUCCCACCAUGUGGCCACAGUCCCCUUGCAUAUGACGGAAUCCUCUGUGUUCUCUAAGGGUCUCCUUCCCCUCUGGUUCUUCUCAUGCUUCGUCUCUCCAGAGAACCUGGCAGCCGGUUCUAGCCCUCAACGCCCUCAUGCCGGCCCCUGUGGCUUCAUUCCUGGAAACAUGAUUUUCUCCAUUUAUUCCCACCUGUUGUCUCUAGACUGUCAGUACCAUGAGGGGAUGACGAGGACGCUCUACUGAAAUCACAUGAAUCAGAACCUCAUGCAGCCCGCACAAGAACCUGAAAAAACUUCAGGCUUAACACCACUUGCCAGCAUGGGGCAGUUCUCCACACCCUCAGAACGGCCUUACGUAUAGCCUCCCACUGACUUCCCUCAAAGUAACCUUAGCUCUUAACAUCUUGCAAAGUGAUUUAUGUGAGCCAAUUACUAACUGGAGUAUCCGGAAAACAGAAACUG